rnacentral:rRNA from 1 species
UACGGAGGAUCCGAGCGUUAUCCGGAUUUAUUGGGUUUAAAGGGUGCGUAGGCGGUUUGAUAAGUUAGAGGUGAAAUGUCGGGGCUCAACCCCGAAACUGCCUCUAAUACUGUUGGACUAGAGAAUAGUUGCGGUAGGCGGAAUGUAUGGUGUAGCGGUGAAAUGCUUAGAGAUCAUACAGAACACCGAUUGCGAAGGCAGCUUACCAAACUAUAUCUGACGUUGAGGCUCGAAAGCGUGGGGAGCAAACAGG